AUUGAACGCUGGCGGCAGGCCUAACACAUGCAAGUCGAACGAGUGGCGGACGGGUGAGUAAUGUCUGGGAAACUGCCUGAUGGAGGGGGAUAACUACUGGAAACGGUAGCUAAUACCGCAUACCAUCGAAUUUGCCCAGAUUGGCUUAGCUAGGAGGUGGGGUAACGGCUCACCUAGGCGACGAUCCCUAGCUGGUCUGAGAGGAUGACCAGCCACACUGGAACUGAGACACGGUCCAGACUCCUACGGGAGGCAGCAGUGGGGAAUAUUGCACAAUGGGCGCAAUCCUGAUGCAGCAAGGCCGCGUGUAUGAAGAAGGCCUUCGGGUUGUAAAGUACUUUCAGCGGGGAGGCGUUACCCGCAGAAGAAGCACCGGCUAACUCCGUGCCAGCAGCCGCGGUAAUAC
rnacentral:rRNA from 1 species